rnacentral:pre_miRNA from 1 species
ACAAGAUGCUUGACAUGAAGGGAAAACUAUCUAGUAUCAUUUUUAACAAGAGUAAUUUACCUCUUCUUGAAGAUAGGCUGCCCCACAU